ACAACCAAACUCACGUGCCCUCGACACAAUCUGAUGCAAAAACAGCAAACUGGGUCCACCGUCAACCUGAACGGUACCCGACAGUUCGAAACAGCGUAAACACUGCUGUAAAAAUAAGUUCGGUAUCCUAACACGAGCGUAAAUGCAUUCUACACUAUCCUGGGUAUCCACCGCUAACAAAUUGCGGCGAUACAAAAAACUACAGCUCCUAAGCUAUCCGCAUAUCAAAUGCGCACUAACAACGUGGAUACGAACCGCAACAGCUUC
rnacentral:lncRNA from 1 species